AACGAACGCUGGCGGCAUGCCUAACACAUGCAAGUCGAACGAGACCUUCGGGUCUAGUGGCGCACGGGUGCGUAACGCGUGGGAACCUGCCCUUAGGUUCGGAAUAACUCCCCGAAAGGGGUGCUAAUACCGGAUAAUGUCUUCGGACCAAAGAUUUAUCGCCUAUGGAUGGGCCCGCGUUGGAUUAGAUAGUUGGUAGGGUAAAAGCCUACAAAGGCGACGAUCCAUAGCUGGUCUGAGAGGAUGAUCAGCCACACUGGGACUGAGACACGGCCCAGACUCCGACGGAAGGCAGCAGUGGGGAAUAUUGGACAAUGGGCGAAAGCCUGAUCCAGCAAUGCCGCGUGAGUGAUGAAGGCCUUAGGGUUGUAAAGCUGUUUUACCCGGGAUGAUAAUGACAGAACCGGAAGAAUAAGCUCCGGCUAACUCCGU
rnacentral:rRNA from 1 species